UGCAACGCUCAUGUCGCUGAGGCCAGUCUUUUCAAUUUUUUUUUCUCUCUCUCACUUUCCCUCCCCCUUUCUUCACUUUGAACGCCGUAACCGAUACAAGGUGGCGGUGGAUGCCUAUGAGGGUCACCGGACAUCCACAAGAGCAAAAGCGAGGAGAGCUUACAGAAGAAGCGCCUUCGAGCCACUCACCAGCAAUCCUUCUCUUCCUCUCUUCACCACCACCGUCAAAAAGAAGAUUUGGAGUUUCGGGAAUAGAGGUUUUUGCUGAUAUUCUGGUCCAGCGGUUGAUUCAUUGUUACAGCUACGAUUUACGAGUGAUCUCCUUAUGGAACUGGAUGCUGGUGUGGAGUUGGCAACUGCAGCUGUGCCACACCCUUUUCUUCCUUUGGGUGCUGCUGCUAACAUAGUAAAGAAUGUGGUUGCUGUAACAUUAACAUCAACUCGUACUCCAAUUUACAAAGCCUUUGCCAAAGGAGAAAACAUUGGGGAUGUAACUGCUAAAGGAGAAUGUGUUGGGAAUAUUGUAGAUCUGGAAUGUGGAGAACAAUCUAUUCUCUGGAAGUAUACCUGCAAAAUUGCUGAGUGUUCCAAAUUUUAGGCUACUUGGAGGUACAAAUGCUCAAGAAGUUAGAGCAAUGGUUCUUGAUAUGCAAGCAAGGUUGUUGCUGGGUAUGGUGGGGAGAGGAAUUGCAGCAGCUUUGAUAAAUCCUUCGUCUUUAGUACCUGAGCCAUGGCAGGCAUCUGACUGCGGUUUGGCUCCUCUACUAUUGUCUGGUUCUGCGUGUCAGGUAAUAUUGUGUGUAUGAUAUUUAAAUCCUGUUGAUAUAAAAUGCUACAAAUUACUAUUAUUGAUUGAUGUUUUCUGAAGACGUUUUCAUAGGAUUGUUCAUAGUCUUCCACUACUGUAUAGUGCAAAGUCAUAUUUUCAGAUGUCUUAGCAUAUUGUAUAGUGAUGGUCUCAUCCUUCACCACUGUAGGACUGACAUAAUGUGUUUGAGUCCAAACUGACUUGAUCCGACCCGUUGACACCCCUAGAUAUGAAGACCAUUUUGUUCCUUUCUAAAUGCGGAGCCUUUCAUUUGAGUAAUAUUAUUGUCCCUUCAAAAAAUUUUCUUUUCAAGAGCUUUUAGCAGGUGCUUCAUAACUUAUUAGAUUUCUUUAAUUAAAAAGAUUUUUUCUGAAGAUGUUUUCAUAGGCUUUUUCAGUUUCUUCCACUACUGUAUAGUGCAAAGUCAUAUUUUCUGAUGUCUUAGCAUAUUGUUACUUUUUUGCUUAUGGGCAGUUUGGGUAAUUUUUUAUAUCAUAAAUGGUCACUCUAUGUUUUGUUUUAAGUCAUUGUCAUGCUAGUUCUGGUAUGUUCUAGUGCUUCCACAAGCUCAAAGUCAACUUUUGAGGAAAAGUUCCUUUCAUAGCAGUCUCAAACUUCAGGUUUGUUGCUCUUUGCAAUCUCUUUUUACAGUGUUUGGUUUAUGAUGCUGCCAUGGCUCAUGAGACUAGGAAUUUUAAGUUAUGUGGUGCAUUUUUUCAUAUGUAACUUGUAGAUUGUGGUUGUUUGUCAGUAGCAAGCUUACAACAAGGUGAAAUGGCAUCGUUGCCAUUUUAAUGGCUUGGAAGGGGUUAUUUUUGCUAUAUAAUGUGUUUCAUGGAGACAUAUUGGCCAUUUCAAUAGUAUUGGGGAAAUAUUUCAGCAAGUCAAGGGGUUUUUAGGAGGCAUGUUGUCCAUUUAUAUGGUUGUGGAGUAGUAUUUUCGCAACUUAAGGAGUUUUGAAAGGGCAGUUUGGACAUGUCAUUGAAUUUCGCGAGGUACUUUCUAAUUAUUGUGUUUUUAGGGAGAAGUUUGGUCAUUUUAAGGGUUUUGGUUGUAUAGUUUUGCAUUUUAAUGAGUUUUGGGUGGGAUUUUGGCCAUUUUAAUGAAUUUAGCUACAGAGUGAAUUUUGGUGAUUUUAACGGUUUUGGAUGAGAAUUUAAGCAGUUUAAUGGGUUUAGAGGGGGCAGUUUGCUCAUUUGAAUGACUUUGAUAUUGUAA